rnacentral:rRNA from 1 species
AUGGCCGGCGGGAGCAAGAAGCCGUAUGUGGUCGCUGUGGCAAUCCAGACCAUCAACAUGGGCACCUUCAUCGUCUCCAAGGCCGCCUUCGACAGUGGCAUGAACACCUACGUCUUCAUCUUCUACCGCCUCGCCGCCGCCACCGCGCUCCUCCUCCCAAUGGCGCUUAUCGACUGCGCUUGCCGCCGGAGCCGAUCAACAACCUCAACACCAGCACAAGCGAUGUCAUGCCGGCUGCUUUUCAAGUUCUUCAUAUAUGCCUUGCUCGGGAACACAUUUACCCUCAACCUGUACCACGCGAGCCUGAAGCAGACCUCCGCAACGGUGGCUUCGGCAGCCACCAACUCCAUGCCCGUCGUCACCUUCCUCCUCGCGCUGGUUCUGGGGAUGGAGACAAUCAAAUUUCAUAGGCGCUCUGGUUUAGGCAAGCUCGCAGGUGUAGCACUCUGCCUCGCCGGAGUGCUCGUCGUCGCCUUCUACGCCGGCCCGUCCAUACGCCCCCUCGCCCAUCACCCUGUCUUCCCUCACAUGACGCAGAAUGUCGGCAAUGAAGUGUGGAUCAGAGGCACAUUCCUUCUCAUCCUCUCUUGCACAACCUGGUCUCUCUGGAUUAUCUUGCAGGUUCCAUUGCUCAUGGAAUAUCCUAACAAGCUGAUGGCUACCGCGAUGCAAUGCAUGUUUAGUGCACUCCAGUCCUUUGUCGUCGCAGUGGUGGUAGAGAAGGACUUCACCCAAUGGAAGCUUGGGCUAGACAUUGGCUUCCUUGCGGUCCUCUACUCGGCCUUCUUGGGGACGGGUGCGUUGAUGUACCUACAAGCAUGGUGCGCGGAGAUGAGUGGUCCGGUGUUUGUCGUGAUGUGGAAUCCAUUGGCUUUGGUUUUCACUAUGUUUUGCUCAUCAUUGUUCCUCGGAGAAGUUGUCCACUUGGGGAGUAUUUUGGGAGGGUUUCUUUUAGUUGGUGGUCUAUAUAGCGUGCUUUGGGCUAAAAGCAACGAAAAGAAAAAUAAGACACUACAAGUGAUGCCAGUGAAAAGUCAAGGUCAAGAAGAUGAAGCGACAACACAGGAAAACUGCGAAGAGGCAAAACUAACAUCACAAGUAUAA